rnacentral:rRNA from 1 species
UACGUAGGGGGCGAGCGUUGUCCGGAUUUAUUGGGCGUAAAGAGCUCGUAGGUGGUUCGGUAAGUCGGGUGUGAAAACUCUGGGCUCAACUCAGAGACGCCACCCGAUACUGCUGUGACUUGAGUCUGGUAGGGGAGUGUGGAAUUCCCAGUGUAGCGGUGAAAUGCGCAGAUAUUGGGAGGAACACCAGUGGCGAAGGCGGCACUCUGGGCCAGUACUGACACUGAGGAGCGAAAGCGUGGGUAGCGAACAGG